AACGCGAAGAACCUUACCUGGCCUUGACAUGCAUUGUGUCGCCGGUGAAAGCCGGCUAGCGUAGCAAUACGCGCUUUGCACAGGUGCUGCAUGGCUGUCGUCAGCUCGUGCCGUGAGGUGUUGGGUUAAGUCCCGCAACGAGCGCAACCCUUGCCGUGUGUUGGUCGCAAGAUCUCUCACGCGGGACCGCCGGUGACAAGCCGGAGGAAGGUGGGGAUGACGUCAAGUCAGCAUGGCCCUUACGUCCCGGGCUACACACGUGCUACAAUGGAAUGGACAACGAGUCGCGAACCCGCGAGGGUAAGCUAAUCUCACAAACCAUUUCUCAGUUCGGAUUGAAGGCUGCAACUCGCCUUCAUGAAGUCGGAAUCGCUAGUAACCGUAGAUCAGCUACGCUGCGGUGAACUACGUUCCCGGGCCUUGUACACACCGGAGUA
rnacentral:rRNA from 1 species